AUUGCGCCAAGGAACCAUAUAACGAAGAAGAGCACGUCGGCAGUUGCCGCCCGUUCGCGGUGUGCGCGCGGACCGCCUCGUGACUCCUUUCUUGCGAAAAUUUAAAACGACUCUCGGCAACGGAUAUCUCGGCUCUCGCAUCGAUGAAGAACGUAGCGAAAUGCGAUACUUGGUGUGAAUUGCAGAAUCCCGUGAACCAUCGAGUCUUUGAACGCAAGUUGCGCCCCAAGCCAUUAGGCCGAGGGCACGCCUGCCUGGGUGUCACGCAUCGUCGCCCCCUCCACCCCUUAGCCCAACAAAAGGCUAAGGGCGUUGCUGGGACGGAAAAUGGCCUCCCGUAGGCUCCCAGCUUGCGGUUGGCCCAAACGCGAGUCCUCGGCAACGAAUGGCGCCGUGACGAUCGGUGGUAAUGCUCCUAGCGUGCCUUGUCUCCAGUCGCGCGCGCCCGUUGUCCGUGCGGACCCCCUCGGACCCUUUUGUGCAUCGCUCGAACGAUGCUCGCAUCGCGACCCCAGGUCAGGCGGGAUUACCCGCUGAGU
rnacentral:rRNA from 1 species